rnacentral:rRNA from 1 species
GGCCAGCANCGAUUCGUGCGGCGGGGNAAUGGCUUGGGGAAUGUGGCUGCUUNCUUUUNGUGGGCAGUGUUAUAGCCCNGGCUGAUGCCGCCUGUGUGGAUCGAGGACUGCGUCUCUCUGAGACUAGGAUGCUGGNGUAAU